GCAUUAAUGGGGUAGUGGUAACCUGGGUCGUUGCCAUUUGUGUGUUGGGAUUUCGACCCGCCGGGGGUUCAAUUCCCCUUUAAUGCA